UACAGAGGUCUCAAGCGUUGUUCGGAUUCAUUGGGCGUAAAGGGUGCGUAGGCGGCGCGGUAAGUCGGGUGUGAAAUCUCGGAGCUUAACUCCGAAACUGCAUCCGGAUACUGCCGUGCUUGAGGACUGGAGAGGAGACUGGAAUUUACGGUGUAGCGGUGAAAUGCGUAGAUAUCGUAAGGAAGACCAGUGGCGAAGGCGGGUCUCUGGGCCGUAACUGACGCUGGAGGAGCGAAAGCGUGGGGAGCGAACAGG
rnacentral:rRNA from 1 species